rnacentral:rRNA from 1 species
GAUGAACGCUGGCGGCGUGCCUAAUACAUGCAAGUCGAGCGAACGGACGAGAAGCUUGCUCCUCUGAGGUUAGCGGCGGACGGGUGAGUAACACGUGGAUAACCUACCUAUAAGACUGGGAUAACUUCGGGAAACCGGAGCUAAUACCGGAUAAUAUUUUGAACCGCAUGGUUCAAAAGUGAAAGACGGUCUUGCUGUCACUUAUAGAUGGAUCCGCGCUGCAUUAGCUAGUUGGUAAGGUAACGGCUUACCAAGGCAACGAUGCAUAGCCGACCUGAGAGGGUGAUCGGCCACACUGGAACUGAGACACGGUCCAGACUCCUACGGGAGGCAGCAGUAGGGAAUAUUCCGCAAUGGGCGCAAGCCUGACGGAGCAACGCCGCGUGAGUGAUGAAGGUCUUCGGAUCGUAAAACUCUGUUAUUAGGGAAGAACAUAUGUGUAAGUAACUGUGCACAUCUUGACGGUACCUAAUCAGAAAGCCCCGGCUAACUUCGUG